rnacentral:rRNA from 1 species
UAGGGAAUCUUCCACAAUGGACGCAAGUCUGAUGGAGCAACGCCGCGUGAGUGAAGAAGGUUUUCGGAUCGUAAAGCUCUGUUGUUGGUGAAGAAGGAUAGAGGCAGUAACUGGUCUUUAUUUGACGGUAAUCAACCAGAAAGUCACGGCUAACUACGUGCCAGCAGCCGCGGUAAUACGUAGGUGGCAAGCGUUGUCCGGAUUUAUUGGGCGUAAAGCGAGCGCAGGCGGAAUGAUAAGUCUGAUGUGAAAGCCCACGGCUCAACCGUGGAAGUGCAUCUGAAACUGUCAUGCUUGAGUGCAGAAGAGGAGAGUGGAAUUCCAUGUGUAGCGGUAGAAUGCGUAGAUAUAUGGAAGAAAACCAGUGGCGAAGGCGGCUCUCUGGUCUGAAACUGACGCUGAGGCUCGAAAGAAUGGGUAGCGAACAGG